rnacentral:lncRNA from 1 species
AGUCCUUGGCUUGGACCCAGGGCAGUGGGCCGGGAUCUGGGCACUGUUCCUGUGUGAAGAAUUAGUGGGAACUCUCUAAAGAAGCCGGUCGAGCCUCUGUCCUUGGCCGCCGUCACCCUGUACCCAGGAGCAGGUGACCAUGCCGUAGGACAGCUGCGUGUGAGGUGCCAGAGCCGUGUCAGCACCCUGCUUGCGGUGCCUGUUUUUGAUAAUGAAUUGGGAAUUUUUCUUGAUGGCAGAAAUCUAAAUGCCACUAAAUUGGGGACCUUCAACUUUCGCAUGUAUUUAUGGAGACUCACACAUUAGUUUUGAGAAUGGUUUCCCGCAGCAGCAGCAACAAGAGAGGUGCAAAUCAGUGACUUGGGGUAAACUAACUGAAAAUAAUGAGCAUUUUGAAGCCCUCGAAUGGAGCUAAUUACUAAUUGAGCAAAUAUAGCUAGACUUGAUUUAAACUGGUUCAUAUUGCUAGUAAUUCAUUUUUGAAAUCACUAACCCAUUAAUAAUGAGCCAAGCUUAUGUUUCCCCUCCACCCUGGAGGUAAAAAUGCUAUAGAAUUGGCCUACAUGUGUUUCACCUAUGCCAAAGACGUGUUCUUUGCGUGCUUGGGUUACUGUCAGUCCUGUUUCUGUCUCUUGAGUGGGUGACAUCUCUGCCUUCGAAUGUUCUGCUGGGGAUGGAGAGAGGUGUUUGCCAGAACAAGCCACAACCCCUCAGCCUUCCUCACUGUUGUCCUUGAGCCCUUCUCCUGAGCAUUGCCCUGGUUCUGCAACCCCCCAGCGGGUCAGGUGGAAUCAAGUGGGAUAAAGAGUGCAGAGUCCUGCAUGUCCAGAGGCAGAAGUAUUUGUUCUGAGACAGACUUUGCCUCUGGCUCAGGGCCACUGGACCUCCUUCUCUGCCACAGCUGAGAGGAGGAGCCAUUUGUCUUCCCAGAGGGAACCACAUGGAACGUUGCAUCAGCAUUCUGGGAGUUCCUGCCCAUUGAACCAGGAAUCUUACAGGGAGCCCGUCCUGAAGGUGACUGCUGGAGGUCACACCCACUCCUGCCUGGGGAGCCACAAGGACUCUGUCCCUUGGGCAAGGGAAAGAGACCACUCCUUUACAGCAUUUCAAGGGACUAGAUGGUGCCCAGCUUCCUAUUUUCUUGAAAACAACCUACCCUUGAGAGACAAGCCUGGUGAUGAUCAUAUAUCUUCAUCCCCAGAAGGCCUAGGAAAGACCUGUUUUAUAGGGAAGGACCCUAAACCUCUCCGCUAAUGACUUUCUAUUUGUUGAAUAGAACAGGGGUGCCCAAGAGUGCCCCUGAGGGUGCCUCUAUAGGCCAUGGUGGCAAAGUAGCUUGAACCCUUUCCUCUCUUAGAACUGGGAAGGGACAGUCAUUUUCUGCUGGCCACGUCUGGCAUCAUGUGAGUUUGUUCAUAGCGUUCUGUGGAGCUGGUCCAACCCCAAGGACAUCCUCUCUUUUGGGGUGACUCUCUAGAUGGAAAGCUGACACGUGGACCUCCCCCUAGCCUUCCACUGCCCUCCAAGGAGCUCAGGCACAUGGACACCGUGUACAGCUGGACCAGAAAUAACUCUGGGUCAGCAGAAUGGCACUCGUGGCAUCUCCAUCCAGGAUACUCAGGACAACUAAGGGGCUCAGGAUGGAGGCUGUGACAAAACCCAAGGCCUCCACGUUAGGAGGGGACGGAACCAGACAAAACCCUCAAACCAUGACCCAGACUCCCAGGAUUCCUGUCCGAGACAGAUGUAUAGCUCUUGGGCACAGUGACGCGAGGGCUUGCUGUGGUGGUUCUUGUUUUUGGUGGAGAGGACAAGUGUAGGAAUAACCACGACACCGUUGCCUUUGGCUGUGACCUUGCACCCCCCUAUAGAAAUCUCCCUGGCUGGGAGCCCAGCAGUUCUGCCAGGUUUUAGCUCUGAUGCUAUGAGCAGUACUUUUCAAAUCAGGACUCAGGAGGUGUUCCAGAUCAGGGAAACGGAGGCUGACCGCUUCUAUGAGGUGAGGGCUAGAGAUGCCUUCCCUCCUCACCCCUGCAAUCCCUACCUCCGUGUGAGAGAGGAGAAGGAAGGGGAGGAGAGAGAAGAAAAGCCCAGGCCCCGCCUCCUCAGGGAAAGGCAGGCUGGCCCAGCAUCCCCAGCACGGCUGGCAGGCUCUUUGGGCACCUGGCGUCAGAGUGGAGUGGGUAAAGCGGCACCUGGCAUCUGGGCCCCUUCAGCAGGAGCCUGAGGACAAGGAAAGAGAACAGGUCCAGAGUGUUCUGGGACUCUGAGGGUGUCACAUGGUCUGGGGUGAGGAUCCCGUGUCUAGAAGCUGCUGCAGUAAAGGCAUUUCUACCAUCUGGGGGGCCUCGCUGAAUGGUGUGAUCAAAUGCCACUUCCGGGUCCUAAACCACAAAGGUGGUUUCUUUCCAAUUGCUGAGCAGAGUGGGGCUGCCCAGGAGGUGCGCUGCCAGCAAGGAGCCUGAAUGCAGGGCCAAGCACAAGCCUAAGUUCAAAUCCCAGCUUCAUUUAGGCGCUGGCCCAAGACCUCGGGCAGGACUUUGAACCCUCUUGAGUCUGUUUCCCCAUCAGCAAAAUUAUGCCUGCUUGGCAGGAUUGUUUCAAAGACUGAAAACAGGGUUUGUAAGGGCCACAUGCAUGAUGCAUGGCUCCUGGUAAGCAUUCAGUAAAUGUUAGUUAAAAGAAACAAAGAAAGGAAGGUUCAACCAAGCGUGCAAGGAUGGAAAGGACGUUCAAGGUGGAAGGAAAGGCUUGGGCAAAAGGUCAGAGUCUAGAAGAAGAACUUGGGAGUCCAACUGAGCACAUACAUAUUGUGAACCCAGAUAAUGGUUUUCAGAGGAUGAUCAGUGGAUCUGAAAGUUCAUGAUGGGCUCCUUCUGGAAUCAGGUCUUGUCUGCAAAGAAAUUACAACAUAAAACCAUUAUUGAAACUCAUCAAAUGCUAAACUUGUAAACCAAAAUCAACAAAUGUUCAGAGAAGGAGUUCCCAUCAUGGCGCAGUGGUUAACAAAUCUGUCUAGGAACCAUGAGGUUGCGGGUUCAAUCCCUGGCCUCGCUCAGUGGUUAAGGAUCUGGUGUUGCUGUGAGCUGUGGUGUAGGUCACAGAUGCGGCUCGGAUCCCGCGUUGUUGUGGCUGUGGUGUAGGCUGGCAGCUGCAGCUCCCAUUGGACCCCUAGCCUGGGAACCUCCAUAUGCCACGGGAGCGGCCCUAG